GCUUAUGCUCUAAGUGAACCUGCCUUCUGGCUUCUCCCCUGAGAUUGGAGAGUGGAAGAGUCUCAGAUCUCAUCAUACUGAUCCUGUCUUCCCUCUUGGCGUUGUCAGUUCUUUUAGAAGACCAAGCACCUGUUCUUAUCUCCCACACUAGCAUCAGUGGACAGAAGGAUGCAGCAGCCUGCUUGCCCUGCUCCUGUGCUAUCAGUCUCAACUGAGGAAUAAGCAGGAAGAGCUUGGAGACAAGAUGACAAGAUCCGGGCCUGUCCUCAUCUCUGUCACACUUAUAAAUCUAGAGAAAUUCCACUUGUUCCUUGAGGACAUGCAAGGAUUUUAUUAUAGCAGUGUUGAAAACUGGAAUCCGGCACAUCAGAUUAACAUAAAAUGCAAGGGAAAAGUACCCAGCAACAAGCAAAGGGCAAUACAGAAAAUAGGUUUGUUACAAGCAAAUUGGAUGUGUUUGUUUUCUUCUUUUUUUUUCCCUCUACAUUAAUGCCAUCCAGGCCUCUCCCGUAUAUUCUUGAGAAAAUGACUUCGUUAUAUCAGAGAAAUAUAUUGAAAAUGAAAUCAGUGGAAGCACCAAAUGUGCCCAGACAUGACAAGACUUUUAAGUAACAACAGCAGAAUUCUAUCUCCUUUCCUGUUUGUUCCAUGUUAACUUAUGGAGAUUGGUGCUGACUUUCUGGAAUGGCUGCAGCAAGCUGUAAAUGAUGUAUGAAAAUGAAAUGAAAAUUCUCUGCCCGAGCCACUGUGCACAGCAAUUGCUGCUGAGCCAAAUUAAUAGCUAUUUGCUCCUGUGUGCUCUGACAUGGGACGGAGCCAGAGAAGCCAGUAGUAAAGAAACUGGAACAGCUAUCCACAGGUAUCCUGGACAGGACUCCUGCAGAUCCUUUACUCCAUCUUCAGUGGUGAAGUCCCUUCAGAGAGGUGAAAAGGAGGAGACUCAAAUGUUUUCAGCCCUUCCUGGAAAAGCCCCAGGGGUUGGCUCACAAAAUCAGAGAAUAUCCCAAGUUGGAAGAGACCCGUAAGGAUCAUCAGUUCCAACUCCUGGCUCCGCACAGGACCACCCAAAAAUCAGGCUCUAUGUCUGAGAGCUUUGUCCAGAUGCUUCUUGAACUUUGGCAAGAUUGGUGCCAUGACUGCUGCCCUGGGGAGCCUGUUGCAGUGCCUGACCACCUGGAGUAACAAGUUAGGUAGCAGAGACACCUACUCAGGCCCUCCUUUUUCAAUCUCUUGUUUCCUGUCUUUGUUUACUUACCUCUUCCCCAUUUUUAUCCAACUGUAUCUCUGUUGCAACAUCACCACCCCUGGGGAUUAGGGCCGUGCAGGUGGAAGAGGGUAACGAGGGUAAUUAAGGGAGCACAUGUAUGUGGGUACAAUUAGCACCUGGUGAUUAUCUGGGUAAGGUGAUGGGCACGGUGACGAAGGACAUUUCUGGUGACCUAGUUACUAAACACUCUCUGGUAGUCAUGCAACAGUGCAAAACUGCAAACAGUGAUUAUUAAUACCAUUAUAAAUUCAUGCAAGCUCAGGUUCUGCAAAUGCUUUGCCAUGUGAGUGCUCUCUGUGGAGGUAAAGAGGGCACUACAGCAAGCAUGGAAAACCAAUGUCCAGGUUAACAGUGCACUUGCUGCAAGGUGCCCCUUGGAGUUUUGGGCUUGGCCCACGCCUGUGCUGAAUCCAGCAGCAUCCCAUCAGCAUCCCUGGAUGUUCACUAUGUAGCUGGCCCUCUGAUCCUUCCCUUGUUCAUUUUUGCAUGGGUAACACAUGCAAGUGCAAACUAAAACCAACAGAAAUUAAAAAAUAAUACAAAUUAAGCGAAUGCCCCUUUGUGUGAUACUCCUUCACAGCUGAGAAGCAAAGGGAGAUGGGAUUUAAUUUAGGCCAGUCCUCUGCUGCAUUUCAGAUAAAGCAUUUUAAUCUAGUUGUAGGUUGAUAAAAAUACCCCUCUCUGAUCCUGCAGGCAACUUUUUCUGCCAAUUUUCUUUCCAGGGAGGAAGAGAGGAGGAAAUAUAAUUGAAAGAACACUGCAGCAUAGAAAAUGACACUGACGGAGUAAUGCACUUUGGAACGGUGUGCUCUGCCAGCUCCUUGUUUUCUACUAUUUUUUUUCCUCUUUUUACUUCAGAGAUUUCAAGCUAUUGGUAAUCAUCAGUAUGAUUAGCUCCUUUUUUUUCUUUUUUUUUUUUUCUUUCCCCAGAGCUUCAGCCAGGUAGAAGUCUUUUAAAUACAGAAUGAUUUUGGGAGUCUCAUUCCAACUUUCACAGUACAGCUUGUUCUCUUUCACCCCAAGCUGAGAUUUUUCAGGGUUAAUUUAUUCAUCUAAUUGUUGGAUGCACGUGUGGUAUUGCAGUCCACAGUGAUUUUAUGGACUUAAGGCUAUGGUAAUGACUUAAUAAACAUGCAUGUGUACAUGAUUUGAAGGCAAUGUAUUCUCUUGAAUGUAAUAUUUCAGAAAAGACAGAAUGAAAAAUAAAAGGGUGGCCAGAGGCGCAUCUCAGUAGAGGCGUGAAAUGCUGAGCUUUUAGUAUUUUUUCCAAAUUAAGGACUCUGUUUAGAAAAGGCAUUACCUGUCCAGUUUCCUGACAAUCUGUGAACAUUUGAAUAAUCAAAUAACAGCAGCAACAAGACUUUUUGGGGUCCGUUUGCCUCCGUGCUCUUCUUUUGAGCCCUUCUCUAGCUUCUUAGUGUUGGCGUGUGCCUAUCCACAGGAAAGCAUGGCUGAACCGAAUGAAGAAAAGGAAUGGGAUAAGUUUGAUGGACAGCGUUCAGAAGAUGCAUGUUAAAAAUCUCUGAUGCUGCCUCUGAGAAAGAGAAGGGGGUGGGGUGGAAAGGACAAGUUUCCGGGGCUGGUGAACUAAGCUACACCAGCUGAAACAAAACCCAACACAAAAGCAGCUCUGUUGACAUGCACUCAUUUAACACUAAGGG